rnacentral:rRNA from 1 species
CCUACGUGGGGCAGCAGUGAGGAAUAUUGGUCAAUGGCCGAGAGGCUGAACCAGCCAAGUCGCGUGAGGGAAGACGGCCCUACGGGUUGUAAACCUCUUUUGUCGGGGAGCAAAGAGAGUCACGUGUGACUCAUUGAGAGUACCCGAAGAAAAAGCAUCGGCUAACUCCGUGCCAGCAGCCGCGGUAAUACGGAAGGUCCGGGCGUUAUCCGGAUUUAUUGGGUUUAAAGGGAGCGUAGGCCGGUCUUUAAGCGUGCCGUGAAAUUUUGUGGCUCAACCAUGAGAGUGCGGCGCGAACUGGAGACCUUGAGUGCGCGGAAGGCAGGCGGAAUUCGUGGUGUAGCGGUGAAAGGCUUAGAUAUCACGAAGAACCCCGAUUGCGAAGGCAGCCUGCCGCAGCGUUACUGACGCUGAAGCUCGAAAGCGCGGGUAUCGAACAGGAUUAGAUACCCCAGUAGUC